rnacentral:rRNA from 1 species
AUUGAACGCUGGCGGCAGGCUUAACACAUGCAAGUCGAGCGGGGUGAUGGUGCUUGCACUAUCACUUAGCGGCGGACGGGUGAGUAAUGCUUAGGAAUCUGCCUAUUAGUGGGGGACAACAUUUCGAAAGGAAUGCGAAUACCGCAUACGUCCUACGGGAGAAAGCAGGGGAUCUUCGGACCUUGCGCUAAUAGGUGAGCCUAAGUCGGAUUAGCUAGUUGGUGGGGUAAAGGCAUACCAAGGCGACGAUCUGUAGCGGGUCUGAGAGGAUGAUCCGCCACACUGGGACUGGGACACGGCCCAGACUCCUACGGGAGGCAGCAGUGGGGAAUAUUGGACAAUGGGCGGAAGCCUGAUCCAGCCAUGCCGCGUGUGUGAAGAAGGCCUUAUGGUUGUAAAGCACUUUAAGCGAGGAGGAGGCUACUUUAGUUAAUACCUAGAGAUAGUGGACGUUACUCGCAGAAUAAGCACCGGCUAACUCUGUGCCAGCAGCCGCCGUAAUAC